rnacentral:rRNA from 1 species
GACGUAGGGCGCAAGCGUUGUCCGGAUUUAUUGGGCGUAAAGAGCUCGUAGGCGGCUUGUUGCGUCGUCCGUGAAAACCCGUGGCUCAACUGCGGGCUUGCGGACGAUACGGGCAGGCUGGAGUUCGGUAGGGGAGACUGGAAUUCCUGGUGUAGCGGUGAAAUGCGCAGAUAUCAGGAGGAACACCGGUGGUGUAGACGGCUCACUGGACCGUAACUGACGCUGAGACACGAAAGCGUGGGUAGCAAACAGG